AUACUUACCUGGACGGGGUCAAUGGGUGAUCAAGAAGGCCCAUGGCCUAGGUUAGCGACCUUCAUUGCACUUUGAAGGGGCGCUCGCCUAAGAUCUACCCAAGUGGUGGAGUCUACGUCAUAAUUUGUGAUAGUGGGGGUACGCGUUCGCGCGGCCCCUGC
rnacentral:snRNA from 11 species